rnacentral:rRNA from 1 species
UACGAACCGUGCGAACGUUAUUCGGAAUCACUGGGCUUAAAGCGCGUGUAGGCGGGACGGCACGUCGGUCGCUGAAAUCCCCCGGCUUAACCGGGGAACUGGCGUCGAUACGACCGCCCUGGAGGGGCGUAGGGGGACCUGGAACUUCCGGUGGAGCGGUGAAAUGCGUUGAUAUCGGAAGGAACGCCGGUGGCGAAAGCGGGCCGCUGGACCUCUACUGACGGCUGAGGCGCGAAAAGCCAGGGGGAGCGAACGGGG